GAUGAACGCUGGCGGCGUGCCUAAUACAUGCAAGUCGAGCGAACGGGCGAGAAGCUUGCUUCUCUGAUGUUAGCGGCGGACGGGUGAGUAACACGUGGAUAACCUACCUAUAAGACUGGGAUAACUUCGGGAAACCGGAGCUAAUACCGGAUAAUAUUUUGAACCGCAUGGUUCAAAAGUGAAAGACGGUCUUGCUGUCACUUAUAGAUGGAUCCGCGCUGCAUUAGCUAGUUGGUAAGGUAACGGCUUACCAAGGCAACGAUGCAUAGCCGACCUGAGAGGGUGAUCGGCCACACUGGAACUGAGACACGGUCCAGACUCCUACGGGAGGCAGCAGUAGGGAAUCUUCCGCAAUGGGCGAAAGCCUGACGGAGCAACGCCGCGUGAGUGAUGAAGGUCUUCGGAUCGUAAAACUCUGUUAUUAGGGAAGAACGUAUGUGUAAGUAACUGUGCACAUCUUGACGGUACCUAAUCAGAAAGCCACGGCUAACUACGUG
rnacentral:rRNA from 1 species